CCAGCCUCAACAGGGUGAAGGCGACGCAGCGCUGGAAGCUGCAUCGAUGAUUGUUCCGGCAUCUAGCUGUAAACGGCGCUGUGCGGAGCUUCCUGACAAUGCACUCCUCCGGUAAGGGUACGCAUCUGUCGUGAGACGAUGCGUAGAGUCUGCCAGUCACACAUGGCGGACAAGAGG
rfam:Candidatus Burkholderia brachyanthoides strain TZHbot7 BRCHctg416, whole genome shotgun sequence.